rnacentral:rRNA from 1 species
CGGAGGAUCCAAGCGUUAUCCGGAUUCAUUGGGUUUAAAGGGUGCGUAGGCGGAAUGAUAAGUCAGUGGUGAAAUCCCUUCGCUUAACGAAGGAACUGCCAUUGAUACUGUCAAUCUUGAGUACAUUUGAUGUGGGCGGAAUGUGUCAUGUAGCGGUGAGAUGCUUAGAUAUGACACAGAACACCGAUUGCGAAGGCAGCUCACAAAACUGUAACUGACGCUGAGGCACGAAAGCGUGGGUAUCAAACAGGAUUAGAUACCCUGGUAGUCCACGCUGUAAACCAUGAUUACUCGAUGUUUGCGAUACACUGUAAGCGUCUAAGCGAAAGCGAUAAGUAAUCCACCUGGGGAGUACGCUCGCAAGAGUG